GAUUGUGGCUCAGUGGUACAGGGCUUGCCUGAUACGUAUGAGGCACUGGGUUUGAUUCUCAGCAGGACG
rnacentral:tRNA from 1 species